GGCUUAGUGGUUAGCGGUUAGCACUUUCGCCUCACACCUCCAGGGGCCGGGGUUCAAUUCCCACUGGGUCC